CACCAAGUGUCAAUUCAAAGGUGUGGAAAGGAAACAAGACUGACAGUUUGUGGGGGAAGGGGCCAACUGGGAGUGGCAGUUGGGUCUUGUGACUGGCACUUCCUUCCUGCGGGGAGCGGGGGAUGGGCUGCCUGGUGUUGGGGGAGAGAGGACCUUGUUCAGCCUGUCUGAAGUGGCAUGCUUUUCUUGAUUCAGCCGGAAGAUUCAGGCUCAGUCGCUUCUGAAGAAAACAUCCGAUCAAGGCCCAGAAAAUCUGAGAAAAUAAAAACACAAAGUUCCUUCAACAAAGCACGAAUUAAUAAAAGAUAAGGUAAGAUAAAAUAAAAUAAUUUUAUUUAUGCCUCCCCCA
rnacentral:lncRNA from 1 species